AUGGAUCCCCUCUAUCGUCCCGAAUUCCUCAUCCUCCUGCUGAAGCAGGAAGGACGUUCUCUCGAGGACCAUACCAGACAGUUUUUCCUAUUAGCUAAUGCCACCAGCUACCCGGACGGCGCGCUCUGCACCUUCUACAACACCAGCCUGAACUCCAAAUGCAGAGCGUUGUCGUCCGAAGAUGGUCCUCGAGAGGAUUUCGCCGCAUUUGUGGAGUGGACUCUGGCGAGAAAUGGGUCAUCUCUCACCAUCUGCCCCAUAGAGGACCUCGCCAGCCCCACUCCCGACCCAGAGACCAGCCAGCCACCAUCACGCCGCACGGAGCCAGAGCCCACCGCAGCCGCAGAGUCCGAGCCAUCCACUGACAGGGAGCCGGAUCUCGAGAGCGCGACUGACCAGGUGUGUGAGCCGGCAACACUGUGCAUCGUGGGAGUCCUCGUGGAGAUCGAGGGCAUGGAGGAAAGCCCUGCCCACACUCCUGCAACUGAGGGUGAGCUGUAUACAGUCUCUGAAAGUUAUAUGGAGCAAGUUCUGGAUCUGAUGGACUGGUCUACGGAGGUAAUCCCUAAUAUUCCUGUUUCCCCGCUGGUUCCGUCCAGCCCUGAUUCCCCGGUAUACCCUCUCAGUCUCCCACUCCUACCUCCUCCAGUCAUUUCCUCUGCUCCAUUUCUGCUGGUUCCGCCCAGCCCUGAGUUUCCUGUAUCUCCGCUGGUUCUGCCCAGCUCUGAAUCUUCUGUUUCUCCGCUGGUUCCGCCCAGCCCUGAGUUUUCGGUUUCUCCGCUGGUUACGCCCAGCCCUGAGUUUUCUGUUUCUCCGCUGGUUACGCCCAGCCCUGAGUUUUCUGUUUCUCCGCUGGUUACGCCCAGCCCUGAGUUUUCUGUUUCUCCGCUGGUUCCGCCCAGCCCUGAGUUUCCUGUAUCUCCGCUGGCUCCGCCCAGCUCAGAAUCUUCUGUUUCUCCGCUGGCUCCGCCCAGCUCAGAAUCUUCUGUUUCUCCGCUGGUUCCGCCCAGCUCUGAAUCUUCUGUGUCUCCGCUGGUUCCGCCCAGCCCUGAAUCUUCUGUUUCUCCGCUGGUUCCGCCCAGCCCUGAAUCUUCUGUGUCUCCGCUGGUUCCGCCCAGCCCUGAAUCUUCUGUGUCUCCGCUGGUUCCGCCCAGCUCUGAAUCUUCUGUGUCUCCGCUGGUUCCGCCCAGCCCUGAAUCUUCUGUGUCUCCUGUAUUCCCUCCCAGCCUCCCUCUCCCGCCUCCUCCCAAACCUGCUGGUCCCUCUACUCCUCUUUCGCUGGUUCCGUCCAGUCCUGAUCCUCCUGUCCUUCCUCCCAUCCUUCUCCUCUCUCCUCCUCCUAGACCAGCCAGUUCCUCGUCAUCCCUGCUGGUGCCAGCCAGUCCCGCAGCUCACCCUCAGUCCGCGCCAUCGGGGCGCGGUGGUUCGCCGCUGGACUGCCAGUCUCCAGCUCCGCCUUGGCGUGUUAAGGCCCUGUCUCCGCCUCCAGCCUCCGAGCCCUGGACUCCUCCUCGGUCCUUCGACCCAGCGGCUCCGCCUUGGCUCUUAGCUCCCUCGUCUCCACCGUGGCCUGUCAUCCCACCUGCUCCACCGGGCUCCCUCGUCCCUCCGGCUCCACCUUGGUCAGUCGUCGACCAUCCGCCGCCUCGGGACUUCACUCCUCUGGUUCCACCUCGUCACUCCAUCCCUCCGGCUCUGUCAGGCUCCUCCUUCCCUCCGGUUCCACCUCCAUCCUCGGUCACUCCGGCUCCACAGCGGUCUGCCGAGACCCCGCCUCCACCUUGGUCGCCUGAGCCUUCAGCUCCACCUAGGCCCUCCGGAUCCUCGUCGUCACCCUGGCUCUGCGGCUGUGCUGCUCCAUCUUGGGCUCCUCACCCACCGGUGCAGUCUCCGCCUGUCGGCCCCCUGGUGUCGUCGACCCUUCCUUCACCAUGGCUCCUCCCGCCGUCGACUCCACCUUGGAUCUCAGUCCUGGCUGGUCUCUGGUGGACCAUCUGGCUCCUCCUGCUCCUGUCUCCUCCCUGGCUCCUUCCUCCGUCUCCUCCCUGGCUCCUCCUUCUGUGGUCCCUGUCUGCUGGCCCCCUCCUGGGAGUCCGUCCUCCACCGGAACCUCCUCCCAAGUUCCCACCCACGCCUCCCCCUGUUGUUUCUACGGUGCGAGGACGCACCUACCGGGAGGGGGGAGUACUGUCACACACCUGGACUCAUUUAGUGUGUUUUUGCCCGUGA
rnacentral:lncRNA from 1 species